CCUACGGAGGCAGCAGUGGGGAAUAUUGGACAAUGGGCGAAAGCCUGAUCCAGCAAUUCCGCGUGUGUGAAGAAGGCCUUCGGGUUGUAAAGCACUUUAGUGGGGGAAGAAACAGCUUGGCCACACCAAGCCUUGACGGUACCCCAAGAAUAAGCACCGGCUAACUCUGUGCCAGCAGCCGCGGUAAUACAGAGGGUGCAAGCGUUAAUCGGAUUUACUGGGCGUAAAGGGUGCGUAGGUGGCUAUUUAAGUCGGAUGUGAAAGCCCGGGGCUCAACCUCGGAAUUGCAUUCGAUACUGAGUGGCUAGAGUUCGGUAGAGGGCGGCGGAAUUUCCGGUGUAGCGGUGAAAUGCGUAGAUAUCGGAAGGAACAUCAAUGGCGAAGGCAGCCGCCUGGGCCUGGACUGACACUGAGGCACGAAAGCGUGGGUAGCAAACAGGAUUAGAUACCCUGGUAGUCCACGCCGUAAACGAUGAGAACUUGACGUUGGUUCGUUUUACGAAUCGGUGUCGCAGCUAACGCGAUAAGUUCUCCGCCUGGGGAGUACGGCCGCAAGGUUGAAACUCAAAGGAAUUGACGG
rnacentral:rRNA from 1 species